CUGGCUCGGCAUGACUAUUGUAGUGUAAAACUUGUGCAAAAAGAUAUGUUUGGGGUAUUCAUCUGUAGAAAAAAAAAUUGUUGAAAAAGGGCAAGUGCAAGGAAAAGAAAGACGAGAAAAAUAAAAACUGUGUAGAAACAUCCGCUUCUACCGAAAAAAAAAGAGAAAAAGAAAUGAAAAAAAAGGUACCUAUAUAGAGAAAUGAAGAAUAAGCACUUGCCUUAGAAAUAGACUCAUGCAUUUAUAUGAAUUUGAGUGAAAAAGAGUCAAGAUUGGACGACACCCCAAAUAAAUUUCCUGCAUAAAGAAAAACAACAACAUGAAUGGCGAGUUGUAAAACCUUUUGUAAUCCAUUAUGUUGUCUA
rnacentral:lncRNA from 1 species